rnacentral:rRNA from 1 species
GACGUAGGAGGCGAGCGUUGUCCGGAUUCAUUGGGCGUAAAGAGCACGCAGGCGGUUUGGCAAGUCGGAUGUGAAAACCCGAAGCUCAACUUCGGGCCUGCAUCCGAAACUGCCCGACUAGAGGUAGGUAGGGGAGAUCGGAAUUCCUGGUGUAGCGGUGAGAUGCGCAGAUAUCAGGAGGAACACCGGUGGCGAAGGCGGAUCUCUGGGCCUUACCUGACGCUAAGGUGCGAAAGCGUGGGUAGCAAACAGG